rfam:Salmo salar isolate Sally breed double haploid chromosome ssa14, whole genome shotgun sequence.
UGAAUGCAUUAACUGUAAGUCGCUCUGGAUAAGAGCGUCUGCUGAAUGACUAAAA